rnacentral:rRNA from 1 species
GAGCGCACUUUAAUGUGACUCUUUGUAUCACCAUUACCACCCAACCCAGAGGUGCAUUGUGGCCUUUAACGAGGUUAGCAGUGUAUCAGUACGUAUCCCAAAGGCAACUUUGAGUUACAUUACCCAUCAUUUACCCCCAUUUACACUUAAUAAGUUUUAAGAAUGAAAACCAUACCUAUAUAACUUUCAGCAAUGGAUCUCUAGGCUCUCACGUCGAUGAAGAACACAGUGAAAUGUGAUACGUAAUGUGAAUUGCAGAAUUCAGUGAAUCAUCGAAUCUUUGAACGCACCUUGCACCUUUUGGUUAUUCCGAAAGGUACACCUGUUUGAGUGUCACGAAACCCCCCUCGGCUCUAAUGCUUUCUAAAAGGAUUUGAGACGGAUUCUGAGUGUUGGCGUGAUWACGCCUCGCUUUAAAUAGAUCAGCACUUUUGGAUGGUUUAAUAUUAGUUCNAAAGACGUACUUGAUGUUGUAUUUAUAUUUCGUUGAGGCAGUCUUUGGUCGUUCCGACUAUCCGCUAAUAUGACGACUUGAAGAAUAGCUUCCUAACCCUAUGAAUUUAACCUU